CCCUAUUUGCAUCUCCACUUCUUUGACAUCAGAUAUCGAGAUUUUCUGCUCUUUAAGAGAGGAAAGUGUCGAGGAAAAGCAGAAAGGCGUAACAGUUAAAUCAUCCGCCACGUGAUAAGUUGGGGAUCCUUUUAGAUAACUUCCCUGCCCAUUGGGAAACUUAACCGAAGAUAACAAGUUCAGAUAAUCAUUGUACUCAGCAGGCAAGCAUUCUUCAGCGAGGGGGAAAAUGCAGUGUGCUGAAAUGUAGCCAUGAGGUAGAAUGGGUGUCAUUAGCCUCUUUUUUCGUAUCCGGGGUAAUGAAAUGCUUGCUAUCUGCAAGGUCGGAUGUGCUCCGGUACAAGUUGUCUAUAGCCUUAACACAAGUGUUACCGGCAAGAAGAUGCUCAACUCCAACCAAUGGGAUGUAGAGGAACUAAACAGAAACUCCACAAACUGUUUAUUUGCUUGAGCAUACGCAACCUUACCAGUAGAUUGUUGUAUCAUCACUUUCAAUCUUAAAUUCCUCGAGUUGUUUGGAUUCUCUUCCUCUGUAGUGUGUGGUUGAGUCACCAUGAAUUUAGAGUAAAUCAGCUGUGUUGUUUUAUUUAGGAUGAUGUCCGACAAUGGAGUUGGGGACGUCAAGGAAGCCUUCAACAAAUUCAUAAUCUAACAAUAACAUGAUAUACACAAAUUAAAUAAAUAACUAGUUAUAACAAAGAUUGAGAUUAGAGAAAACCAAAAAUUACCUCAGUGAAGCCCAAAUCCACCUUGAUUUGCUCGGCGUUAUCCAUGUCUGUAAUGCCAAGAUAGCUAAUGACGCCUAAGAGUCCUGUCUCACUUGGAAAUAUGUGGAGAUCAUCAGAUAUUAAGAAAGAUGAUGUAUUCAUGGUGAAAACUCCAUCUCUAGAUGCAGCAGCUUCAGAUCCUUUCUCAACUACUUCUAUUUUCAUAGCAUCAUUAUAUGAGCAAAAUUUGCACCUCUUGACAUGAUCAUAGAAGAUGCUUACGCUACGAAAUCUAAAAGACUGAGGGUGAUAGAAACAAUAGAAAUAUUCAGCAGGCUGAAAAUCAGUGAUGUCGAGUUUCAGCCUCCCGUAUUCAUCUUCCAAUGAACUUGUUGGAUCAAGCAGAGUCUGCUUAGCUCCAUCAGUCCAGACGUAGGAACUGUCGAGAUUUACUAAGCUACGGUAUAAACUGCUUAAGCUACCAAUGGAAGGCGCCUCGUCUCCAUAGUGCUUCUCGAGGACUUUCACAAUUCUUCCCAAUGGCAAACUCAAGAAGCUUAACAAAAUGUCUGCAAAAUGGCUGUCGGAGUCUGCAAAGAGUACCUUAGUUCUCUCUUUAUUGAUCAUCACUUUCAACGAAAAUGUAGCACCCUUUUUAUCAUCAGUCAUUCUUGAAUUUGAUACAGAAGUCGUCACUGCACUAAUUAGUUUAUAUGUGUAUUGAUCUAAUAGUAGAAUAUAAUUAAUGUUUGAGGUUAAAGGUAUCAAGAUUGCUAUUUGGACAUAAUAUGUUCAUAUAUAAAAUGGUCAAAUAUAUAAAAAUCGAUUAAUUUAAAAAUUUUGGCUCAAAAUAAAAAAGGAUUAAUUUAGUUAAUUAAAAAUAAAGACAGCUACAAUGUGAACAAAAUUUUAAAACUAGCUAAUUUUUUUUUAUUUUUUUAAAUCGAAAAUUUUAUAUUAAUUUUAUUUUGUAUAUAUUCAUUCAUGACCCAAAAAAACCCAUCUUUUCGUCAAAUUCUGUCAUUAUUCAAAACCAAAAUCUAGUUUCCUGAGAGUCCAAUUAAAUCCUUCAUAAAGACUAAAAGAAGCUCGAAUUAAACAUCUCUUACUCGGGUAAUUCUAUCUAUAUCAAAGCCUAUUUUUCAGAAAAAUUAAAAUUUAGUGUAUUUUAUUUCAAAUUUUAAAGAUUGCGAGCAAAAUCAAAAUCCGUCUAAAUUUUAUGUAUUUUGUGGCAAUUUACCCAUAAACAUAGUAGUAAUUAACUAAUUAAUAAACAAUUAAAAAUAGACACAGUGUGAACAAGAGAUGAAUAAGUCAAGAAUUACCUGAUUUCCAAAUUUAUAAAAAUUGGGGAUUUUCAAGAGAAAAAAGACAGAUUUUCAAGUCAACCCAGAAGAAAAUAUGUUGUUGGAUGAGGGUGGCUGAGCUCGCGGCGGAGGAAGAAGAGAGGAGUGGAUAGAUGAGUGAGAGAGAAGCACUGUCAUUAUUUGGCUACUAAAGCAAAAUGGAGCAAACAGUUGAGCUAUGCCAUUGGCGAAUCUUUGCUUUUUCACUUUUUUUUUAAACUUCUUUUUCUGUUUUUCAACUUUUUCUUUUCCAUGUUUUUGGUUUGUCGGUUUCACAAAAAGUACUAUUGCAUGACUUUAUUUGACGCAAUUGUAAUUUAAUACUCCGUGCGCCAAAAUUAGACUACUUUGGUUGAGCACGAAAUUUAAUAAAAUUGGUGAUGAUUUUGAUGUAGUGGAGAAAAUGUCCCACCACUUUAUUAGAUGUGUGGUUGAGAUUGAAUUUGGGCUAGUUUUUUUUGUAAAUAAAAAGUGUUUGUAAGGAUAAAAGAUUAAAGUAGGUAGUAGGACCAUUUCCAUAAAAGGAAAGUGGUAUGCUUUUUGCGGACGCUCAAUAUAAUAAAAAUGGUCUACUUUUGGCGGACGGAGGGAGCAUGUUUGAACAAAAAAGUAGUUAAAUACUUUAACAAAUAUAUUUAUUUAAAACUUUUGAUUAAAAAAAUAGUUAUUUUUAUUAUUUUCUCCAUAUUUUAUUUUAUAAUUUUUAAUAUUUUAUUUAAAAAUUGUUAUUUUUAAAGAGCAUAAAAAUUACAAAUAAAAAGUAAAAAUUAAAAUAGCACCUUAGAUUUCUCUCUAUUGAUCAUCACUUUCAACGAAAACGUAGCAUUCUUGUUCUUGUUUUUCUCAGACAUUUUGGUGGAGGCGAAGAUUUUUCUACAAUUCUAUUUUCUUAUUUGUGAAACAUCAACCUUUCAAGUUCAACCAUAUUAAUAUUCCAUUUUCAGGUGUCUUGAAAUUCGGAAUUUGUUGCUGGUUAAUCAAUUUUAAUUAGGAGUGAAUGCAGAAGGUGUGGCUUUUAGUGGGACUAGUGACUCUUGGUUAACUCCUUCCUCAUAAACAAGGGAGUGAAUGUAGAAAAAAAUCGAAUUAGUAUCUUCAUCUGUUAUUUAGAUCUAAAUCCAAACACAGCCAAAUAUAAAACCUAGUAUUAAAAAAGUGACUUGUUUUACAAAAUUUGAUUUGCCUAUUAUAUCCCUCAUAUAUACUUAGAUUAAGGUUAAUUGUGUAAUUUAAUAUAUUAUACUUAUAAUAUAUCUAUAAAUAUAUUAUGGUUUAUCUUUUAUAUUUUAAUAGCUAUUUAAGUAGUAGUAUCCAUUAGGACUCUUCAUCAUAUAAGUUAUUAUUUUUUUAUUACAUAAUUAUAAUAAUUUAGAAUUAAAAUACAAAGGAUUACUUAAGUAAUAGUAUCCAUUAGAAUUAGUAAAUCGAAAGAUUUCAGCGAGUCCUCUCUUUUAUGGGGGAAGAAGUUAACCGAAGAGUCGUUAAUUAGUCCUCCAAAUUCCAAGACACUCUACAAAUUACAAGAAUCAUUAGAGAAAUUAACCAAGCGCCGCUAGUCCCACCAAAUUCCAAGACAUAAACUUGUUAAAUAGGUUUGAUUUAUUUAAUUUAUUUUUUAAAAUAAAAAUAAUUAUUAUUUUUCCUUAUAUUGUUUAUAUUUUAUUUAUUUUUUGUAAUUUUUUAUUUUUUUAGAAAUAAAAUAGAAAAGUGCAAAAAAAAAGGUACAAUUAAUAUAGACAAUACAAUAAAUUAGUUAAAAGCUAUUUUUAAUUUUAAAAAUAAACUAAAUAAAUCAAAAAAAUUAUCCUAUUGAACUAAUUUGUGAGUGGUCCUGAUGUGAUUGCAUAUAUUUAUUGUUUGGUUGAUUUCCCGGUUUUAUUUACGAUUAAAAAAGUGAAGUAGAAGUAUCUCUUCCAACUAAAUUACCGAUUUUGUGUGUAGGUGGAAUACAAUUUAAAUUUGAAUAAGUUUCAUUUUAAACGUAGGUUAUAGAAAUUUGAUGCAUGCAUGUGAUUUUCUUUAUAGGUGUAUUGAGUGAUGUCACACAAUUCUUUAUUCUUUUGAAUUAUUGAAUGAAUUAUAUGUGACAACAAUUUCAUAAAUAUUAGGAGAUCAAAUGAAUUCUUGCUGCUUAAUUCCAAGUUAGCUGCGGACGUUUAAUUUUGUAUCUCAUAAAGAGAGUGAAUGCAGAGAGUCUCGGAAUUUGGUAGGACUAAUGACUCUUAGGUUAAAGUUGUCGUUGAAAGUGAUGAUAAAUAUAGAGAGAAAUGAGGUACACAAUAUAUAUUUCGAAUUUUUACUCAUCCUACUCCAAUAACAUUUAUGAUAAUUCUUAUUUCAACAAACAAAUAAUAGUUACUCCAUCUCAUAUAUUGUGCAACUUAAAUUUUUUUAUACUCAUAUAGUAUUAAAUAAUUAAUUAAAUUUUAAAUAUAAACCAGUUAGGUGAUAAAAUGCAUCUCAUCUAGCUGCUUAAUUCGAAGCUAGCUACUGCAUGGAGUUUAAUUUGAUUUAGUAUCACAUAAAGAGAGCGAAUGCAGACAGAGACGGAUCUAAAGGCCGGGCAGCCUCGGCGGUCGCCCGGUCAUUUUUUUAUUACCUAUAUAUAUAUAUAUAUAUAUAUAUAUAUAUAUAUUAUUAUUUANNNNNNNNNNNNNNNNNNNNNNNNNNNNNNNNNNNNNNNNNNNNNNNNNNNNNNNNNNNNNNNNNNNNNNNNNNNNNNNNNNNNNNNNNNNNNNNNNNNNNNNNNNNNNNNNNNNNNNNNNNNNNNNNNNNNNNNNNNNNNNNNNNNNNNNNNNNNNNNNNNNNNNNNCACUUUAUAAAUAGCUUUCAACUUCUUUAUUUUUCCAAUGUGGGAUGACACUCCACAUUUCCAUCUUCAAUGGCUAUCUUUGGGCAUUAAUUACUCAUUCAAUUCUUAAUAGAUUUGAACAAGUAAAUAUACCAAAUUAAUCUACUCAAAAUGUAGAUUCCAAAUAUACCAUUUAAUUCCAUUAAUUACAAAGUAAUUAUGGACUAAUAAAAGCCAUUUAUUCCAACAAUAUAUAACAACUAAGAUUUCAAAUGAUACAGGUUACCUCUUUCAGCCCGAUUUGCAUCUCCACUUCUUUGACAUCAGAUAUCGAGAUUUUCUGCUGUUUAAGAGAGGAAAGUGUCGAGGCAAAGAAGAAAGGCGUAACAGUUAAAUCAUCGGCCACGUGAUAAGCUGGCGAUCCUUUAAGAUAACUUCCCCGCCCAUUGGGAAACUUGACAGAAGAAAACAUCGAUAUAUUAUCAUAGUCAGCAGGCAAGGAUUCUUCAGUGAGGGGGAAAAUGUAGUCUUUCGAAAUGUAGCCAUGAGGUAGAAUGGGAGUCAUUAGUCUCUUUUUCGUAUCCGGGGUAAUGAAAUGCUUGCUAUCUGCAAGGUCGGAUGUGUUCCGGUACAAGUUGUCUAUAGCCUUAACACAAGUGCUACCGGCAAGAAGAUGCUCAACUCCUACCAAUGGGAUGUAGAGGAAACUAAACAGAAACUCUACAAACUGUUUAUUAGCUUGAGCAUACGCAACCUUACCAGUAGAUUGUUGUAUCAUCACUUUCAAACUUAAAUUCGUAGAGUUAUUUGGAUUCUCUUCCUCUGUAGUGUGUGGUUGAGACACCAUGAGUGUAGAGUAAAUCAGCUGUGUUGUUUUAUUUAGGAUGAUGUCCGACAAUGGAGUUGGGGACGUCAAGGAUGCCUUCAACAAAUUCAUAAUCUAACUAACAUGAUAUACACAAAUUAAAUAAAUAACUAGUUAUAACAAAGAUUGAGAUUAGAGAAAACCAAAAAUUACCUCAGUGAAGCCCAAAUCCACCUUGAUUUGCUCGGCGUUAUCCAUGUCUGUAAUGCCAAGAUAGCUAAUGACGCCUAAGAGUCCUGUCUCACUUGGAAAUAUGUGGAGAUCAUCAGAGAUUAAGAAAGAUGAUGUAUUCAUGGUGAAAACUCCAUCUCUAGAUGCAGCAGCUUCAGAUCCUUUCUUAACUACUUCUAUUUUCAUAGCAUCAUUAUAUGAAGCAAAAUUUGCACCUCUUAACAUGAUCAUAGUAGAUGCUUACGCUACGAAAUCUAUAAGACUGAGAGUGAUAGUAGGAUAUUUACAAUAGAAAUAUUCAGCAGGCUGAAAAUCAGUGAUGUCGAGUUUCAGCCUCCCGUAUUCAUCUUCGAAUGAACUUGUUGGAUCAAGCAGAGUCUGCUUAGCUCCAUCAGUCCAGAAAUAGGCACUGUCGAGAUUUGCUAAGCUACGGUACAAACUGCUUAAGCUACCAACGGAAGGCGGCUCGUCUCCAUAGUGGUGGUCGAGGAUUUUGACAAUUCUUCCCAACGGCAAAGUCAAGAAGCUUAACAAAAUGUCUGCGAAGUGGCUGUCGGAGUCUGCAAAGAGUACCUUAGUUCUCUCUUUAUUGAUCAUCACUUUCAACGAAAAUGUAGCACCCUUUUUAUCAUCAGCCAUUCUUGAAAUAUAUAUGUGGUACAAACAAAGAAAUAUUUGAACAAUGUAAUCGGAAGAUUUCAGCAAACCCUCCAUUUUUAUGGGGGAAGAAGUUAACCUAAGAGUCGUUAGUUUAGUGCCUCCAAAUUCCAAGAAUCGUUAGAAAAAUUAACCAAGCGCCACUAGUCCCACCAAAUUCCAAGACCCAUCGGAUUGUAUUUGAUUAACUUCCCAAUUUUAAAAAAUAAAAAAAAAAAAUAAAAAAAAUCGAUCUAUUUUAGAUUGGAAAAGUGAAGUAGAAGUACCUCUUCCAACUAAUUAAAUUACCGAUUUAGUGUCAAUAUAGACCACAAUUUAAAUUUAAAUAAGUUUCAUUUUAGAUAUAGGUUUACAAAUUUGAUGCAUGCAUGUGAUAACAAUUUCAUAAUUUUUUUUUUGAAACAAUUUCAUAAAUAUUAGGAGAUCAAAUGCAUCCCAUAUGUAGCUGCUCAAUUCCAAGUUAGCUACUGACGUUUAAUUUGAUUUUGUAUCUCAUAAAGAGAGUGAAUGCAAGGAGUCUUGGAAUUUGGUGGGACUAAUGACUCUUAGGUUAACUUCUUCCCCAUAAAAAGGGAGGGUUUGGUGAAAACUAUCGAUUACAUUAUUAUCUCAAGAAUGUCUGAUGUUGAGAAGGAUGUCAAGUUGUCGUUGAAAGUGAUGAUAAACAAAGAGAGAAAUGAGGUACUCUUUGCAGAAGCCGACAACCAUUUCACAGACAUUUUGUUAAGCUUCUUGAGUUUGCCGUUGGGAAGAAUUUUCAAAGUCUUCAAGAAGCACUAUGGUGAUGAGCUUCCUACCAUUGGAAGCUUAAGCAGUUUGUACCAUAGCUUAACAAAUCUUGAUAGCGCCCAUUUUGUGACGGAGGGUGCUAAGCAGACUCUGCUCAGUCCAACCAGUUUAUUUGAAGAUGAAUACAAAAGGCUGAAACUCGAUAUCACUGAUUCUCCGCCUGCUGAAUAUUUCUAUUGUUCAUCCUGUUACCCUCAUGAUAGAUUUCAUAUUAUAAGCAUGUACUAUGACUCUGUUGAGCGUUGCAAAUGUUACCGUAGUAUGAUGAAAGAAGUAGCUAAAAAAGGGUCUGAAGCAGCUAGUGAUGGAGUGUUUACUAUACGUAAAGCAUCUUUCACAAUCUCUGAUGAUCUUCAAAUAUUUCCAAAUGAGAUUGGACUCCUACCAAUCACCACCCUUCUUGGCAUUACAGAUGCCCAUAAGGCUGAGGAAAUCAAAGUGGAUCUUGGCUUCAAUGAGGUGAUUUCUUGAAUAUUCUCUAAUUAAUCUCAAUCUUUGUUAUAACUAGUUAUUUAUAUUUUGUCAUUUUUGUGUUUAUAUGGUUGUUAGAUUAUGAAUUUGUUGAAGGCUUCCUUGACGUCCCCAACUCCAUUGUCGGACGUAAUCCUGAAUAAAACAACAACACAGAUGAACUCUGCAAAGAUUCCGUUGCAUGAGAUUGUAGAGAAAAAAAACCCCAAUUCUAGGAAUUUAAGUUUGAAAGUCACCAUACAAAAAUCUACAGGUAAGUUUCUGUAUGCUCAAGCUAAGGCAGAUUUUAUGGAGUUUCUAUUUGGUUUCUUCAACAUCCCACUAGGAGGAGUUGGGCAUCUUCUUGCUGGCAAGACUGGUUUCAAGGCUAUAAACAACUUGUAUCGGAGCACAACUGACCUUAUAAACGACAAGUAUUUCAAGACCUCGGAUAUGAAAAGAAGGCUAAUGAAACCCAACUUGUUUCAUGGUUGCACUUCCAAAAACAACAUUCUUGCUCUUGUCGAAGAACCCUUGCCUGAUGACUUCGAUAAAGCUGAAUUUUCUUCAGUCAAGUUUCCCAAAGGGAAGGGUAGGUAUCUUGAAGGAGCAGCAACUUAUAAGGUGACAGAUGACUUAACUGUGACCCCUUUUUGCACUGUCUCCAUUCUUUCUACUCUGAAUAGCUUGAAAAUCCCAAUAAAUGACGUCGAAGAAAGGGAUCUGCAAAUCGGAUUGAAAGAGAUAAUCAUUGAAUCUUUUUAUAAAUGAUUUUUUUUAGCAUAUUUUGAGAUGAAGUUUGUUGGUGCAGGGCUUGAGCAUACUGAAAGCUUCUCUUACAUCCACUUCUGCUCUCACAGAUUCUCUCCUCAGUCAUAAAUCGAGCAAGAAACGGAAGAAAGAACUCGCAGGCUGAUCCUUGGUUGCAACUAUUACAAAUAUUAGCAACUCUAUAUAUGGUGCUUAUAUUUGCUUUUGCUUUUUAUUGUGAUCCUAAUAUUUUCAAGGACCUAUUUUUCAUAUGCAAGUUACUGUUUUUGUUUCUGUGUUGUCCUUAUAUGAGAGAAAGCAUACUCUUGAAAUUACUUCUAAUUUAUUGACAAUAUUGCCUCGCUCACAUGAUCAGACGAAUCCACCCUAAAAAAUAACUACUGAAACUUGAAAAAAUUUACACUAAACUUGCAAAUAAUAAAAAGAUUUUCUUUUUCAUUUCUUGGAAUCGUGCAACAGGCUGAUAUCGAGGAUGAGAUCUAGUGUACCAUAAACGAUGUCUCAUUCCAUGUCUCACUAUUAAAAUGACGUAGUUUUAAUUAUAACUCUAAUAUGUACAUAAUUGAUAUCAUCAUUCUAAAGUAAAGGAAGGAAUUACACAAAAAAUCAUAUGGUUCUUUUGCUUCCCAAUUUGUUCUUCUACUCAAAUCCAAAUCAUUCUGCCGGUAAGGCUUGUGUUAAGGCUAUAGACAACAUGUAUUAGAACACAUGUGAAUAUAUGGAUAACGUAUCUCAUAACCUCGGAUACGAAGAAGAGGAUAAUAAAACCUAAUGUGGUUCAUGGCUGUAUAGAGAGAAACACUUACAUCCCCUUCUGUUCUCACCGAUGAUCUCCUAACUCGCACAUCGAAUAAACAAAUAAUUGGAGAAGUAUGAGUUUGAUCCACACAACAAUUUUGCUGCAUAAUUAUAUAACUAAUAUUGUUUGCUUAUGUUAAUAGCUAUGGUUCUUAAAUUAAACAAUCUUCAUAGUGUAUUAUGAGAGUUAUGCAUCUAUUGAUCUCUUUGAUGAUGCAUUGUUUAAAUCAUUUAAAAAUUCAAUAAAAUACAUUAUUUCAAAUGUUUACUCAUCCUAACCCAAUAACAUGUACGAUAAUUCUUAUUUCAACAAACGAACAAUAGGUACUCCAACUCAUAAAUUCUAAUUAGCAAAAUAUUACUUAUAGAUUUUCGUUUUUGUGACUUCCUAUCAUAUCUGGGCUCGGAUCACAAAGAAGGAUGACAAUGGGCUCAUAUCUACAUUUGGUCUAGAUCCAUUAACUUUGAAAAAAAAAUUAAAUAUAGGUCAAAAUUCAUAAAAUCCACAACUAAUUUAUGUAAUUCGAUUAAUUUAUUUAAAUUGGUUAUUGCAAUUGAAGUUAGCAAAAAUAAAUAAAGGAUAAAUCCUUUCGGAUCAAAUUGAUCCGAAUCAAUGAUAAUAAUAUUGUCAAAAUAUUUAAAUUGAAAAUGUAUCUUACCUUAAAUGCCCUUAAUAAAAAUUUAGAAUUCAAAAUAUUAAAUUUAUUAUUCAUAUACAUAAAUUCAAAUGUUUUUCCAUUUUUCUAGGCCAUUAAUUGAAUUCGUAAAUAUAAAAAUUGUACGUUAGUCUCCUUAAAUUUAUGAACUUAAUUAAAUGAAUUUAUGAUUAUAACAAUUUCGGUUAGUCUAUCAAUAAAAUUAUGAAUCUUCUUCCAAGUCUCCUGAGCUUUAUGCAAAGUAUCACGAUUGCAUCGAACGAAAAUUUAAACGAAUAAUCAACUAAAAAUUAAUUAAAAUGGCGAAUCUUCUUCCAAGUUAGACUCUGGUGGGACGACGUUUGGUUAGUUUCUCUAUCUCGUAAAAAGGUAGUGAUAUCAAUGCGUAGAAUCUUGGAAUUUGGUUGGACUAAUGACUCUUUGGUGGGUUAAUUUCUUGCCUUAAAAAAAAGCGAGGGUUUGCAGACAAAUCUUGAUAGCAAUCUAAGUUUUCAUCUCCAUUACCACAAAUAUUACUAAUUUUCUACACAUUUUAGCAGAAUGUCUGAUGCUAAUAAAGAUGUCAAGUUGUCGUUGAAAGUGAUGAUGAAUAAAGAUAAAACUAAGGUUCUCUUUGCAGAAGCCGACGGCCAUUUUAUAGACAUUUUGUUAAGCUUCUUGACUUUGCCGUUGGGAAGAAUUAUCGAAAUCUUCCACAACCAGUAUGGAGAAAAGGCACCCACCAUUGGAAGCUUAAGCAGUUUGUAUCGUAGCUUAGAAAAUCUCGAUGACGCCCACUUUGUGACGGAGGCUGCUCAGCGGGCUCUGCUCUAUCCAAUCAGUUCAUUUGAAGAUGCAUACAAAAGGCUGAAACUGGACAUCACUGAUUCUCUGCCUGAGAAGUAUUUCUGCUGUUUCUUAGCCUCUCAUGGUAGAUUUCCUAGUUUAAGCAUCUACUAUGAUAAUCUCACUUGCAGAAUCUGUGGCAAUAUGAUGAGAAAAGAAGCAGCUAAAAACCUAUCUAGAGCUUCUUCGAGUGAUGGAGUGUUCACGAAAAGUAAAGCAUCUUUCACAAUCUCCGGUGAUCUGCAAAUAUUUCCAAAUGAAAUUGGGCUCCUACCAUUCAUCACCCUUCUUGGCAUUACAGACGCGCAUGAGGCGGAGGAAAUCCAAGUGUCGUUUGGGUUCGAUGAGGUGAUUCUUGUUUCUUUAAUCUCAAUUUUCCACCUUUUUUUUGGGAUUAAUUGGUUAUAAUCCAGAAAGGGGUUAGUGCCUAGAUUAGAAUCGUAAUUUUAGGAAAAUUUCGAAAAUAAUCCAAGUUGAUCAUGGCUUUGUUAGUUUGUUUACUAAUCUAUACCUAUAAAAUUUGAUUCGUCUAUAAUAUCUGUCAUAUAUAUUUAUUUUAAGGUUAAUUGUGUAUUUUAAUAUUUUUUAUAUAUAAUAAAUCUAAAAAAAUAAGUUAUGAUUUAUAUUUUAAUUAGUAUUUAAGUGGUAGUACCUAUUAGGACUCUUCAUCCACAUAAAUUACUGUUCUUUAUUCUCUAAAGUUAGUAAUUUAGAAUCACAGUAUUACUUAAUACUAGUUUUAUUAGAAGAAUUCUUGGAUUAAAAUUAAUUAUAUAAAGAUGAAACCUAGAAAACAAACAUGAAUUUUAUAUACUUUUAUUUUUGGUUAUGUUUUUUUCUGUGGACGUCCAAAAUUAGUUGGUACUUAAUAAAUUAAAAUUAAAUUUCAUACAAAAUUUAGAUAUUACAUAACUUUUAAAAAAUUAUUGUCAUAAAAGUUACUCCCUCUUUCCACGAAAGAAUUUCCUAUCUUUCCUUGUUGGGAUGUCCACAAAAGAACUUCCUAUUUAUUUUUGGACUAUACCCCACCACUUAUGAUCUUCUUACUUUUCAAUUUUCACAACUCUCAAUAUUAAUUAUAACACUUUUUCACCACUUCUAGUACACUCAACUACCUUUUAUCCACUCUCAAUACACUCAACAAUAUUUUUUCUUAAAAUUCAUGUCACUUCCUCCUAGAAAGUUCUUUUAUGGACGGAGGGAGUGCUAUAUAGUAUUAAAGUAAUUCAUUUUUACGGGCAAACACAAUCAUUUCUGCUAGUAAUCUAUAUAAAUUUGUAGCCGAUUAACCCUUUUUUUUUUAAUGAGAUGUUAGAUUAUGGACUUGUUGAAGGCAUCAUUGACGUCGCCAACUCCAUUGUCGGACCUCAUCCUACGUAAAAAAACAAAGAGUUCAACUGCAGCUAUUUCAAUGCAUGAAAUUGUGAACGAGAUAAACCCCAAGUGUAGGAAUUUAAGUUUGAAAUUGAUGAUACGAAAAUCCACCGGUGAGCUUUUGUACGCUCAAGCUCAGGAAGAUUUCGUAGAGUUUCUAUUUGGUUUGCUCACCAUUCCACUAGGAGGAUUGGAGCAUCUUCAAGCCGGCAAGUCUUGUUUUACGGCGAUAAACAACUUGUAUCGGAGCACGGCUGAACUAGACGACAAGUAUUUCAAGACCUCGGAGACGAAGAAGAGGCUUAUGAAUCCCCAUUUGCCUCAUGGUUGCAUCUCCCCAAACCAGAUUCUUCCCCUCACUGAAGAAUGCUUGCCUGCUGAGUACAUUGAUAAUCUCUCGCUCUUUUCUUCGGUUGCGUUUCCUGAAGGCCAGGGAAGAUAUCUCGAGCGACCAACAACUUAUUUGGUGAGCGAUAAUUUGACUGUGACUCCUUACUUUACUGUUUCUGCUCUUUGCCGUAUGAAUAAGGAGAAGAUUCCGAUAUCUGAUGUUGAAGAAAUGCAGCUGCAAAUUGGAUUGAAAGAGGUAAAUACAACUUUGAUAGCUUUUAAUUGUAUAUAUGUUUAGAUGUUGAGAGCAAAUUUGUUGAUGGGUGCAGGCUUUGAGCAUACUGAAAGCUUCUCUUACAUCCACCACAGCUCUCUCCGAUGCUCUGCUCAAUACUUACCCGUCGCACAAACGACAAAAGAAAUAAUUUUGAUUGCAUCGUUUGAAUGUCCCUUGAUGGAAAAUAAUAAUGAGCUUAUGAAAGCUAGUAUUGUAGACAUAAUUUAUGAGUUUUCAAAGAAGUAUUCUCUUGUGCCAGUUAAUUAAGAUCUUCGAGUCUAAAAUAGACGUCUUAAUUUUGUUAUUUGUUCAUUCAUUAAAAACUCUGAUUUUGCUAAUAUCACUGUGGAUCUAGUUUCCACCAAUUUAUAUUUUAUUCAUAUUUAAUAUAAAUUAAUUUCAAAGCUAUUUCUAAUUAAUAUAAAAAAAAUUUAUUAUUUUAUAAAUAUUGUAUAACAAAAUUAACAAAAUUAGUAAUUAUUUUAGUUUUUACUUUUUAUUUGUAAUUUUUAUGCUUUAAAAAUAAUAAUUUUUAAAAAAAUUAUAAAAAUUACAAAAAUAAUAAUUAGCAACUAUGGUGCUUAUGUUUGCUUUUGUUUUUUCAUAUGAUCCUAGAUAUUCCAGUCACUUAGACCUUUUCUUCAUAUGCAAAUUAUUUGUUUUUUGUUUCUGUAGAAAGCAUAAUCUUGAAAGUUAUACAACUAAAAUCGAACUGUCAAAUGGAAUUACUCCAAUUUAAAAUGUCGAAAUAUUCAUUGACAAUAUAUACUACCUCGCUAACAAAAUCAGAGCAAUCCACAACUAAAAAUAACUACUGAAACUUGAAAUAGUUUACACUAAACUUGCGACGAAUGGAAAAAAAAUAAGAUUUCCUUUUUCAUUUGUUGGAAUCCCACACCAUGUCCAACUAUCAAAACCAUCUGACAUUUAAACAAAAUCAUGUUUAUAUUCCAAAAAUUAUUAUUUCUCACACCCGAAAGAUGACGGGUGAUAUCUGAUGUAGCCUAAAUAUUUGAAAGCUAUAGUGAAUAAAGAGAUGCAACGUGCUACGAUUGUGAGAAUCUUGAAGAAGCACUAUUUGAAUCUCUGAAUAUCUAGUUGUAGUGAUUUCUGGUUAUAUCAUUUUUUGCAUUUUCGUUUUAUGUUUUGUGGUAUAUGCAUAUUAAGAGCAUCCCUUACAUCUGAUUAUGAUUCUGCUUGGCAUUAUCAUAAAAUCUGAGGCACAAAAAAUCUCUCUUUUGUAAGAAGUCAUUAAUUAUUUCAAGUUCCACGGCCGUGAGUUCAAUUUUCAUUUGAUUGGAUAUUUAGUCUGGUUCUUGUAUUGUGAGCAUUCAGUAUGAAAUAGUGAUUAAAUUAUGAAAUUACAUUGUGAAACGAACAAUUUGAACAUACAAAAAGUGAAAUAGUUUUAAAAUGAUGAAUGGAAAAACAAGAACCAUAGUUAAAACAACAUAAAAGCACAAUGCAAAGCUAUGAAUUUAAGCCAACAAUGUCACAUUUAUGAGCAGCAAAACAAGAUCUAAAAGCAUGGAUCACACUCAGACUUCUCUCUUUGGUUGUUUGAUUGAUAUGUGACUCAAUAGAGCAUCAGAAAGAGCAGAAGUGGAUGUAAGAGAGGCUUUCAGUAUGCCCAAAGCCUGCACAAAAGAAGACAAAAUCAACAUGUAAACAUAUGCUCAAUCAUGCACAAAUAAACUCGAAGCAAACGAGAUAGUAUUUGCAUAUAGAAAAAAGAUUCAAACGAAUGGAAAAUCAAGAUACAUAACUUAAAAUAACAAUGAAGCACACAAUAACUAUUAAUAUAACAUAUAAGCCAAUAUUUGCAACAUAAAUAGGAAGAAUGGAUAUCACACUUCUCUCUUUGGCUGUUUGAUUGAUUUGCCACUCAGAAGAGCAUCAGUGAGAGCAGUAGUAGAAGCAAGAGAGGCUUUCAGUAUGCUGCAAGCCUGCACCAACACAUUUUAUCUCAACAUCUAAACAUAACUAAAUAUAACAACCAAGAUUUUAAAUGAAAGUUUACCUCUUUCAGCCCUAUUUGCAUCUCCACUUCUUUGACAUCAGAUAUCGAGAUUUUCUGCUGUUUAAGAGAUGAAAGUGAUGAGGCGAUGCAAAAAGGUGUAACGGUUAAAUCAUCAGCCACGUGAUAAGUUGGAGAUCCUUUAUGAUAACUUCCCUUCCCAUUGGGAAACUUAACAGAAGAAAAAUGGCUUCUAUCAUUGUAGUCAGCAGGCAAUCUUUCUUCAAUGAGAGGGAAAAUGUGGUCUUUCGAAAUAUAGCCAUGAGGUAGAAUGGGAGUCAUUAGCCUCUUUUUCGUAUCCGGGGUAAUGAAAUGCUUGCUAUCUAUAAGGUUGGAUGUGUUCCCGUACAAGUUGUCUAUAGCCUUAACACAGGUGUUACCGGCAAGAAGAUGCUCAACUCCUCCCAGUGGGAUGUAGAGGAAACUAAACAGAAACUCUACAAACUGUUUCUUAGCUUGAGCAUACAAAAACUUACCAGUAGAUUGUUGUAUCAUCACUUUCAAACUUAAAUUCCUAGAGUUAUUGGGAUUCUCUUCCUUUCGCA
rnacentral:lncRNA from 1 species